rnacentral:rRNA from 1 species
CCUACGGGAGGCAGCAGUGGGGAAUAUUGGACAAUGGGGGCAACCCUGAUCCAGCAAUGCCGCGUGUGUGAUGAAGGCCUUAGGGUUGUAAAGCACUUUCACUGGUGAAGAUGAUGACGGUAACCAGAGAAGAAGCCCCGGCUAACUUCGUGCCAGCAGCCGCGGUAAUACGAAGGGGGCGAGCGUUGUUCGGAAUUACUGGGCGUAAAGGGCGCGUAGGCGGUCUUUUAAGUUAGGCGUGAAAGCCCCGGGCUCAACCUGGGAACUGCGCUUAAGACUGGAAAACUAGAAAACGGAAGAGGGUAGUGGAAUUCCCAGUGUAGAGGUGAAAUUCGUAGAUAUUGGGAAGAACACCAGUGGCGAAAGCGGCUACCUGGUCCGAUUUUGACGCUGAGGCGCGAAAGCGUGGGGAGCAAACAGGAUUAGAUACCCUGGUAGUCCACGCCGUAAACGAUGUCUGCUAGAUGUCGGGGGGUUGCCCCUCGGUGUCGCCGCUAACGCAUUAAGCAGACCGCCUGGGAAGUACGGUCGCAAGAUUAAAACUCAAAGGAAUUGACGG